UACGGGAGGCAGCAGUAGGGAAUCUUCCGCAAUGGACGAAAGUCUGACGGAGCAACGCCGCGUGAGCGAAGAAGSCCUUCGGGUCGUAAAGCUCUGUUGUUAGGGAAGAACAAGUAUCGGAGUAACUGCCGGUMCCUUGACGGUACCUAACCAGAAAGCCACGGCUAACUACGUGCCAGCAGCCGCGGUAA
rnacentral:rRNA from 1 species